rnacentral:rRNA from 1 species
GCAGGCUGCAACCCGCCUGCGUGAAGUUGGAAUUGCUAGUAAUCGCGGAUCAGCAUGCCGCGGUGAAUACGUUCCCGGGCCUUGUACACACCGCCCGUCACACCAUGAGAGUCGGGAACACCCGAAGUCCGUAGUCUAACCGCAAGGAGGGCGCGGCCGAAGGUGGGUUCGAUAAUUGGGGUGAAGUCGUAACAAGGUAAC